rnacentral:misc_RNA from 1 species
GAUGAAGAACGCAGCGAAAUGCGAUAAGUAAUGUGAAUUGCAGAAUUCAGUGAAUCAUCGAAUCUUUGAACGCACAUUGCGCCCGCCAGUAUUCUGGCGGGCAUGCCUGUUCGAGCGUCAUUACAACCCUCAGGCCCCCGGGCCUGGCGUUGGGGAUCGGCGAGGCGCCCCCCGCGGGCACGCGCCGUCCCCCAAAUACAGUGGCGGUCCCGCCGCAGCUUCCAUUGCGUAGUAGCUAACACCUCGCAACUGGAGAGCGGCGCGGCCAUGCCGUAAAACACCCAACUUCUGAAUGUUGACCUCGAAUCAGGUAGGAAUACCCGCUGAACUUAAGCAUAUAAAUAAGCGGAGGA